AUUGAACGCUGGCGGCAGGCCUAACACAUGCAAGUCGAACGGUAGCACAGAGAGCUUGCUCUCGGGUGACGAGUGGCGGACGGGUGAGUAACGUCUGGGAAACUGCCCGAUGGAGGGGGAUAACUACUGGAAACGGUAGCUAAUACCGCAUAACGUCUUCGGACCAAAGUGGGGGACCUUCGGGCCUCACACCAUCGGAUGUGCCCAGAUGGGAUUAGCUAGUAGGUGGGGUAAUGGCUCCCCUAGGCGACGAUCCCUAGCUGGUCUGAGAGGAUGACCAGCCACACUGGAACUGAGACACGGUCCAGACUCCUACGGGAGGCAGCAGUGGGGAAUAUUGCACAAUGGGCGCAAGUCUGAUGCAGCCAUGCCGCGUGUAUGAAGAAGGCCUUCGGGUUGUAAAGUACUUUCAGCGGGGAGGAAGGCGAUGAGGUUAAUAACCGCAUCGAUUGACGUUACCCGCAGAAGAAGCACCGGCUAACUCCGUGCCAGCCGCCGCCGUAA
rnacentral:rRNA from 1 species